rnacentral:rRNA from 1 species
UACGAAGGGUGCAAGCGUUACUCGGAAUUACUGGGCGUAAAGCGUGCGUAGGUGGUGGUUUAAGUCUGUUGUGAAAGCCCUGGGCUCAACCUGGGAAUUGCAGUGGAUACUGGAUCACUAGAGUGUGGUAGAGGGUGGCGGAAUUCCCGGUGUAGCAGUGAAAUGCGUAGAGAUGUGGAGGAAUACCGAUGGCGAAGGCGGCCACCUGGGCCAACACUGACACUGAGGCACGAAAGCGUGGGGAGCAAACAGG